rfam:Schistosoma rodhaini strain Burundi genome assembly, scaffold: SROB_scaffold0002015
AUCCAGCAGACGAGUUGUAAAUGGGAUGAAACGCGCGUCCUGGAU